GGGCAGCCGUGGUCGUUGUUGUCGGCUUGUAUAAAUCAUGGAUACUAGUGGAAAUUCAGAAACGAAACUCCAGACUCACGGAAGCGAAAGUUCACGUGGAAAAGAAAAUUCACUAACAAGAAGAAUAACCCAAACCGAUCAUCUGAAUCGAAGGUUAUUGGAUGCAUUUCUUCUGAGAUUGAACACUUGUAAGUCAGCAGAGUUGGAGGUCGUCUGCAAUAUUGAGAAAAUCCAAAUAACCAAUGAUAUCAACGAUUUUGAAGAUGGCAAAGACAUUUCGAAUGGUGAUCAGACUGUAGAAAACGCAGGAAAAUGUUAGUGGGAAGUUGUACUCGCCAAGUGCUUCGUGAAGAUUAUUGCGCUUCUACUCAGUUCAUCGAUCAUGGACAGCAGUAAGUGACAGAAAACUUCCGUUUCAUGUGAUAAUCAUUUUAGUACCGUUUGUACAUAGGUUUCUUGGUCCAUUGAGGAAGAACUAUUACACUCUUUUUCAGUAAGGAACUGGCUAAAUGUUGGUAAUUAUUAUUGUUGUAUUACCUGAGAGCACAUUUGUAGAACUAAAAUUAUUGUUAUCUCCUUCAAACCUUGUUAUAAUUUGUAAUAUUUUUAUAACCUCUUAAAAUGUUCUAAUUUCUUAGUAUUAUCAUCAGUAAAUGGAAUAAUUAGCAAGGAUCAUUAGUGAUUGUUAAUAAUGUUAAGGUUUGUGAUGCUCAUGUUGUUUAAUGUUUUGUAUCUCCUUCAAACCUUGUUAUAAUUUGUAAUAUUUUUAUAACCUCUUAAAAUGUUCUAAUUUCUUAGUAUUAUCAUCAGUAAUUGGAAUAAUUAGCAAGGAUCAUUAGUGAUUGUUAAUUAAGGUUUGUGAUGCUCAUGUUGUUUAAUGUUUUGUUUCUUAAUUAUACUUUAAAUUCACACUUUAAAUUUUAAUGAUUUUUUAACCCCUAGUGCCCUUAUCAAGUUUCAUCUAAUUUUAUGCGACAAUUUGGCCUUUCAAUAUAACAUUGAUAGAAGUUUUGAUUUAAAGGUGCAGAUUGUCCAGUGUUAUUAUAUGGCAUUCAUAUUCUUUUGUGGCCAAGUGGAGUGGUCUGAUUGGCUCCUUCCUGGUCUAGAUUUUACAAUAACUUUUUCACUUGCUGGCUCUCAGAAAAUUCAAACUACAACACAAGAAAGCAGAAAAAAUAGGAAUUUAAACUGGAUGUGUAUAAGAGAAAUAUUGAGUGGACAAGGAAUCUUGUGAUUCUGAAAAGACAAGUGCUCAGAAAAAGAGUUUCAGAAACUUGUAAUUGCAAGUGCUCAGCUGCAGUCUAUCUCUUUAAAUCAGCAAAUUUUGUAACUUUUUCCAGUGUAUUAAAAAUGUUUA